rnacentral:rRNA from 1 species
AUUGAACGCUGGCGGCAUGCCUUACACAUGCAAGUCGAACGGCAGCACGGGUGCUUGCACCUGGUGGCGAGUGGCGAACGGGUGAGUAGUACAUCGGAACAUGUCCUGUAGUGGGGGAUAGCCCGGCGAAAGCCGGAUUAAUACCGCAUACGAUCUACGGAUGAAAGCGGGGGACCUUCGGGCCUCGCGCUAUAGGGUUGGCCGAUGGCUGAUUAGCUAGUUGGUGGGGUAAAGGCCUACCAAGGCGACGAUCAGUAGCUGGUCUGAGAGGACGACCAGCCACACUGGGACUGAGACACGGCCCAGACUCCUACGGGAGGCAGCAGUGGGGAAUUUUGGACAAUGGGCGAAAGCCUGAUCCAGCAAUGCCGCGUGUGUGAAGAAGGCCUUCGGGUUGUAAAGCACUUUUCUCCGGAAAGAAAUCCUUGGCCCUAAUACGGUCGGGGGAUGACGGUACCGGAAGAAUAAGCACCGGCUAACUACGUG